UUCGGUGGAGGAACCAGGCUGGAGGUUAACUUGGGUCAAAUCGCCCCCACCCUGAUGGUGCUGGCCCCCUCCAGCCAGGAGCUGCAGCAGGGGAAGGCCACACUCACGUGUCUCGCCAACAAGGGCUUCCCCUCAGACUGGAGUCUGGCCUGGAAGGUGGAUGGCAGCAGCAUCAGCUGGGAGGAGAGCAAGAGCCCCAUGAUGCUGGGGAAGGACGGGCUCUACAGCUGG